AGAGUUUGAUCCUGGCUCAGAACGAACGCUGGCGGCAGGCCUAACACAUGCAAGUCGAGCGCCCGCAAGGGAGCGGCAGACGGGUGAGUAACGCGUGGGAACGUGCCCUUUGGUUCGGAAUAUUCCCGGGAAACUGGGAGCAAAACCGGAUAAGCCCUUCGGGGGAAAGUUUACGCCAAAGGAUCGGCCCGCGUUAGAUUAGGUAGUUGGUGGGGUAACGGCCUACCAAGCCUACGAUCUAUAGCUGAUCUGAGAGGAUGAUCAGCCACACUGGGACUGAGACACGGCCCAGACUCCUACGGGAGGCAGCAGUGGGGAGUCUUGGACAAUGGGCGCAAGCCUGAUCCAGCCAUGCCGCGUGGAUGACUGAAGGCCCUAGGGUUGUAAAGUCCUUUCGACGGGGACGAUAAUGACGGUACCCGUAGAAGAAGCCCCGGCUAACUUCGUGCCAGCAGCCGCGGUAAUACGAAGGGGGCUAGCGUUGUUCGGAUUUACUGGGCGUAAAGGGCGCGUAGGCGGAUUUUUAAGUCGGGGGUGAAAUCCCGGAGCUCAACUCCGGAACUGCCUUCGAUACUGGAAGUCUGGAGCACGGUAGAGGUGAGUGGAAUUCCGAGUGUAGCGGUGAAAUGCGUAGA
rnacentral:rRNA from 1 species